ACCCAGCUGACGAGUCCCAAAUAGGACGAAAAGCGCGUCCUGGAU
rnacentral:hammerhead_ribozyme from 1 species